rnacentral:rRNA from 1 species
GACGAACGCGGCGGCGUGCCUAAUACAUGCAAGUAGAACGCUGAAGGAGGAGCUUGCUUCUCCGGCUGAGUUGCGAACGGGUGAGUAACGCGUAGGUAACCUGCCUGGUAGCGGGGGAUAACUAUUGGAAACGAUAGCUAAUACCGCAUAACAGUAGAUAUUGCAUGAUAUCUGCUUGAAAGGUGCAAAUGCAUCACUACCAGAUGGACCUGCGUUGUAUUAGCUAGUUGGUGAGGUAACGGCUUACCAAGGCGACGAUACAUAGCCGACCUGAGAGGGUGAUCGGCCACACUGGGACUGAGACACGGCCCAGACUCCUACGGGAGGCAGCAGUAGGGAAUCUUCGGCAAUGGACGGAAGUCUGACCGAGCAACGCCGCGUGAGUGAAGAAGGUUUUCGGAUCGUAAAGCUCUGUUGUAAGAGAAGAACGAGUGUGAGAGUGGAAAGUUCACACUGUGACGGUAUCUUACCAGAAAGGGACGGCUAACUACGUGCCAGCAGCCGCGGUAAUACGUAGGUCCCGAGCGUUGUCCGGAUUUAUUGGGCGUAAAGCGAGCGCAGGCGGUUAGAUAAGUCUGAAGUUAAAGGCUGUGGCUUAACCAUAGUACGCUUUGGAAACUGUUUAACUUGAGUGCAAGAGGGGAGAGUGGAAUUCCAUGUGUAGCGGUGAAAUGCGUAGAUAUAUGGAGGAACACCGGUGGCGAAAGCGGCUCUCUGGCUUGUAACUGACGCUGAGGCUCGAAAGCGUGGGGAGCAAACAGG